UGAUUUAUUUUUUAAUGUUUAUAUUAUUUGAAUGUUUUAUUCAAAUAAUAUAAAAAAUAAUAUAUAUAUUGACAUGGAUUAAACAAAGAUAUAUAUUAUUCUAUGUUGUAUAAACAAAUUGGCAAAAUAGAGAUGGAAGAUAAAAAUAUGGUCAAAGUAAUAAGAGUCUAUGGUGAAUGCCUAGGAGCUUUAAGGCGAAGAAGGUCGUGGUAAGCUGCGAAAAGCUUGGGGG
rnacentral:misc_RNA from 1 species